UCGCCUCUUUCUUCUUUCAUUUUCUACUCUCGUUUUCCCUCUCUCUCCUCUUCCCUCUAAUUCGCCCUUUCUACUUUCAUUUUCUCUUUUCUUUGUUCUUUCUCAUCUCAUCAAAUUUGAACAUAACUGGGUUUUUUCGAGCUAAUUCGAGGAUAAUUUCAACCAAAUUUCGAACAAUUUCGAGCAAAUUCGUGCAUGCAUGUGGAUGUAUAAGUUUUUUAGGUCAAAUUCGACCAUGAAAACUCUAGAUCUAGAGUUUUUAUGGUCGAAAUUGACCUUUAAAACCAUAAUUUGAAGCCAAAAUCGGAUACGGUUAAUCGAUAGGGUGGUGGUGGUGAUACGGGUUAAGGUGGUUGGUGGUGGCGGCUGGUGGUGCGUGCGGCUGAAGGUGCGCGCGGCUGGUGGUACGUAUGUGCACGGCUGGUGAACAAGAGCAGCAUCAGUUGUAAUAUGCUUGAAUUAUUUUUUUUUAUUAUGAAAAUGUAAUAUUAGAACAAUUAAUUAAUAAAAAUAUUAAUGUUUUUGCA